rnacentral:rRNA from 1 species
AGUGAACGCUGGCGGUAGGCCUAACACAUGCAAGUCGAACGGCAGCACAGUAAGAGCUUGCUCUUACGGGUGGCGAGUGGCGGACGGGUGAGGAAUACAUCGGAAUCUACUUUUUCGUGGGGGAUAACGUAGGGAAACUUACGCUAAUACCGCAUACGACCUACGGGUGAAAGCAGGGGAUUUUGGGACCUUGGGGGAUUGAUGGGGCCGAUGUCGGAUUAGCUAGUUGGCGGGGUAAAGGCCCACCAAGGCGACGAUCCGUAGCUGGUCUGAGAGGAUGAUCAGCCACACUGGAACUGAGACACGGUCCAGACUCCUACGGGAGGCAGCAGUGGGGAAUAUUGGACAAUGGGCGCAGGCCUGAUCCAGCCAUACCGCGUGGGUGAAGAAGGCCUUCGGGUUGUAAAGCCCUUUUGUUGGGAAAGAAAAGCAGCAGGUUAAUACCCCGCUGUUCUGACGGUACCCAAAGAAUAAGCACCGGCUAACUUCGUG